rnacentral:rRNA from 1 species
CGGAGCAACGCCGCGUGAGUGAAGAAGGUCUUCGGAUCGUAAAACUCUGUUAUUAGGGAAGAACAAAUGUGUAAGUAACUAUGCACGUCUUGACGGUACCUAAUCAGAAAGCCACGGCUAACUACGUGCCAGCAGCCGCGGUAAUACGUAGGUGGCAAGCGUUAUCCGGAAUUAUUGGGCGUAAAGCGCGCGUAGGCGGU